UACGUAGGGUGCAAGCGUUUGUCCGGAAUUAUUGGGCGUAAAGAGCUCGUAGGCGGCUUGUCGCGUCUGCUGUGAAAACCCGAGGCUCAACCUCGGGCCUGCAGUGGGUACGGGCAGACUAGAGUGCGGUAGGGGAGAUUGUAAUUCCUGGUGUAGCGGUGAAAUGCGCAGAUAUCAGGAGGAACACCGAUGGCGAAGGCAGGUCUCUGGGCAUUAACUGACGCUGGAGGAGCGAAAGCAUGGGGAGCGAACAGG
rnacentral:rRNA from 1 species